CGAAAGCCUGACGGAGCAACGCCGCGUGAGGGAGGAAGGCUCUUGGGUUGUAAACCUCUUUUGUUAGGGAAGAAGCGAGUGACGGUACCUAACGAAUCAGCAUCGGCUAACUCCGUGCCAGCAGCCGCGGUAAUACGGAGGAUGCAAGCGUUAUCCGGAAUUAUUGGGCGUAAAGCGUCCGCAGGUGGUUUUUCAAGUCGGCGGUCAAAGACCGAAGCUUAACUUCGGAAAGGCAGUGGAAACUGAAAAACUAGAGAUCAGUAGGGGUAGCGGGAAUUCCCAGUGUAGCGGUGAAAUGCGUAGAGAUUGGGAAGAACAUCGGUGGCGAAAGCGCGCUACUGGGCUGAGACUGACACUGAGGGACGAAAGCUAGGGGAGCGAAAGGGAUUAGAUACCCCUGUAGUCCUAGCCGUAAACGAUGGAGACUAGGCGUAGCUUGUAUCGACCCAAGCUGUGCCGAAGCUAACGCGUUAAGUCUCCCGCCUGGGGAGUACGCACGCAAGUGUGAAACUCAAAGGAAUUGACGGGGGCCCGCACAAGCGGUGGAGUAUGUGGUUUAAUUCGAUGCAACGCGAAGAACCUUACCAGGGCUUGACAUCUGUAGAACCCCGAUGAAAGUUGGGGGUGCCUUAGGGAGCUACAAGACAGGUGGUGCAUGGCUGUCGUCAGCUCGUGUCGUGAGAUGUUGGGUUAAGUCCCGCAACGAGCGCAACCCUCGUCCUUAGUUGCCAGCAUUAAGUUGGGCACUCUAGGGAGACUGCCGGUGACAAACCGGAGGAGGGUGGGGAUGACGUCAAGUCAGCAUGCCCCUUACGCCCUGGGCGACACACGUACUACAAUGGUCGGGACAAAGGGCAGCGAACCCGCGAGGGAGUGCGAAUCUCAACAAACCCGGCCUCAGUUCAGAUUGCUCUGUGCAACUCGAGAGCAUGAAGGAGGAAUCGCUAGUAAUCGCCGGUCAGCAUACGGCGGUGAAUUCGUUCCCGGGCCUUGUACACACCGCCCGUCACACCAUGGAAGCUGGCCACGCCCGAAGUCGUUACCCUAACCGUAAAAGGAGGGGGAUGCCGAAGGCAGGGCUAGUGACUGGGGUGAAGUCGUAACAAGGUAGCCGUACCGGAAGGUGUGGCUGGAUCACCUCCUU
rnacentral:rRNA from 1 species